rnacentral:rRNA from 1 species
AUUGAACGCUGGCGGCAGGCCUAACACAUGCAAGUCGAGCGAGCGGCGGACGGGUGAGUAAUGUAUGGGGACUGCCCGAUAGGGGGGGAUAACUACUGGAAACGGUAGCUAAUAACGCAUACUAUCGGAUAACCCAUAUGGGAUUAGCUAGUAGGGGAGGUAAUGACUCACCAAGGCAACGAUCCGUAGCUGGUUUGAGAGGACGACCAGCCACACUGGGACUGAGAUACGGCCCAGAAGCCUACGGAGGCAGUAGUGGGGAAUUUUUGACAGUGGGCGAAAACCUGACCAAGCCAUCCCGCGUGUAUGAUGAAGGCCUUCGGGUUGUAAAGUACUUUUGACCGAGAAGCGGUAUCUGCAGAAUAAGCUCCGGCUAACUACGUGCCAGCCGCCGCGGUAAUAC